AAUGCACACACCAGAAAGAAGUUUCUCAGAAUUCUUCUUUCUAGUUUUAUAUGAAGAAAUCCCAUUUCCAACGAAGUCCUCAAAGAGGUCCAUAUAUCCACUUGCAGACUUUACAAACAGGGUUUCAAAGCGGCUAUAUCAAAAGAAAGGUUAAACUCCGUGAGUUGAACACACACAGCACAAAUUAGUUUCUGAGAAUGAUUCUGUCUAAUUUUAUACGAAGAUAUUUCCUUUUC
rnacentral:lncRNA from 10 species